AGAGUUUGAUCCUGGCUCAGAACGAACGCUGGCGGCAUGCCUAACACAUGCAAGUCGAACGAAGCCUUCGGGCUUAGUGGCGCACGGGUGCGUAACGCGUGGGAAUCUGCCCUUGGGUUCGGAAUAACAGUUAGAAAUGACUGCUAAUACCGAAUGAUGUCUUCGGACCAAAGAUUUAUCGCCUAAGGAUGAGCCCGCGUAGGAUUAGCUAGUUGGUGAGGUAAAGGCUCACCAAGGCGACGAUCCUUAGCUGGUCUGAGAGGAUGAUCAGCCACACUGGGACUGAGACACGGCCCAGACUCCUACGGGAGGCAGCAGUGGGGAAUAUUGGACAAUGGGCGAAAGCCUGAUCCAGCAAUGCCGCGUGAGUGAUGAAGGCCUUAGGGUUGUAAAGCUCUUUUACCCGGGAUGAUAAUGACAGUACCGGGAGAAUAAGCUCCGGCUAACUCCGUG
rnacentral:rRNA from 1 species